UGCCAGCAGCCGCGGUAAUACAGAGGGUGCGAGCGUUAAUCGGAAUUACUGGGCGUAAAGCGUGCGUAGGUGGCAUGUUAAGUCAGAUGUGAAAACCCAGGGCUCAACCUUGGAAUUGCAUUUGAAACUAAUAAGCUAGAGUUCGGGAGAGGAGAGUGGAAUUUCCGGUGUAGCGGUGAAAUGCGUAGGUAUCGGAAGGAACACCAGUGGCGAAGGCGGCUCUCUGGGUCGAUAUUGACGCUGAGGCGCGAAGGCGUGGGUAGCGAACGGGAUUAGAUA
rnacentral:rRNA from 1 species